CUGUAAGCCUGCGAAGGUGGCCUGUGAGGGUUGCUGGAGGUAUCAGAAGUGCGAAUGCUGACAUAAGUAACGAUAAAGCGGGUGAAAAGCCCGCUCGCCGGAAGACCAAGGGUUCCUGUCCAACGUUAAUCGGGGCAGGGUGAGUCGACCCCUAAGGCGAGGCCGAAAGGCGUAGUCGAUGGGAAACGGGUUAAUAUUCCCGUACUUGGUGUUACUGCGAAGGGGGGACGGAGAAGGCUAUGUUGGCCGGGCGACGGUUGUCCCGGUUUAAGCGUGUAGGUGUGUGUUCCAGGUAAAUCCGGUUCACUUUAACACUGAGGCGUGACGACGA
rnacentral:rRNA from 1 species